rnacentral:lncRNA from 1 species
AUCAUGAAUUUCAUAAUGCAUAUACUUGAUCCUUAUUUUAUGAAAAUAUAGAAUAAUUUUUUUCAUGAUAAAAUAAUCAAUAAUUUCAAAAGUAAGUAAGAAGUGUCGGGAUUACUUACCUUUUUCGUCCUAAUCCUUCAAACUUUGAUAGAUAAAUUUAUCAAACCUAUUUAAUAUAUUAAAAAUAUCAUUAAUUUUUAUUUAUUAAUUCAAUAAUAAAAAAAGAAGACUAUAGAUCCGGUGACCUGUUCAACUGGCAGUCCGGAUGUUGGGAUAAUUCAGGAUCUUCCUAACCAAGGGUUAGAUGUAAGUACUGGAUAAAAAAAUCAUGAAGUAUGAAGUGGAAUCAAGGCCAAGAUCAAUCAAUAGAUUCAUCAAUAGUAGGUUUCAAGGGUAUUUGACAUGAUCGGGGUGAGGUUCGACAUCUUGCACGGAUAUUAAAGCAGUUUCAAACUGCUUUGGGUACAUCAUCUCAAGUUCAUACGAAGAUCCAUGAAUUAAAUAGAGAGAGAAUAGAGGAAGAAAAGUCCUAGAGAGAGAAAACAAGAGAGGAGAGAGAAAAUCUCUUUUUUUUCUCUUUUUAUUUUCCUUUUCUUUUCUUCUUCUUUUUCCUUUCCUUUUCUUUCUUCUUUCUUUUCCUGGCCGAACAGAGGAGGGACACGAUGGGAGGGGGCUUGGUGGCUCGUACUUCGACGAGGUACGAUGGCACGAUCGGAGGUCUGGCAGUGGCAAUCGAUGGUGGUGGAGCCAGAGAUGGCCGGCGGUUAGGUUCAACCGAUGGGAAAUUAGAAAAAAAUGAAAAAUAGGGGACCGCCCCCUUUUCAUGAAUUUCUUCGAUCGUAGUCGAUCACCGACGGCCAUGACCUUCGAAGAAGGAAGGUAGAAAGGUGGGGAUCAUGGCUUAUGGGUGCGGCACCAUGGGCGGCGGUGCUGGUGGCCGAAAAAGGGAGAGAGAAGGCUCGGCCGAACAGAGCAAAACAGGGUCAUGAUGUUUUGAGGAUUUUCUGACGAUUCCGACAGCCGAUGAGGAUGCACGAAGCCAUGGAAAGGAGGGGAAAGAAGAGAGAAAGGAGGAUCGGGGCUUAUCUUCAACUCCGGUGAGGUCUCUGGAGAGAAUUUGAGACGAUGAGGACAUCCGUGGCUUUAAUGAAAAAAAUUCGAAAGAACGAAGAGGGAGGAAGGCCGAUAAUCGUCGUUGGUUGCUUAGGAGGGGGAGAGGGUGUUUUAUAAGGUGGAGAGGAGGCCAAAUUCUUCCCAGAUUCGACUUCUCCUCUCCGGUGGGAUUCUUCAUCUUUUUUUUUUUAUGGGCCUGAUGGGCUAAAAAUUGGGUGGGCUCUACUUUAGAACAGGAUAUUACAUUCUACCCCCCAAAAAAAGUUUCGUCUUCGAAAUUUGACAUACCUUCAUUUUUAAAUAAAUAAGGAUACUUUAUCUUCAUAUUAUCCUUAUCAUACUUUAGAUCAGUUUUCGUCAACCCUAGUUUUCUUAUGAUGCAAUUCUUAAAUGAAGCAUCAGUGAGAAUAACUUUUUUUAAGUGCAGAGAUCACAUAUAGUAAUUUAUUCAAUUCUUUGAAUAUAUAGUUAAACUUGAAAGACACAAAAGAAUAACAAAAUUAUAAUCAAACAACACAUGGGCAUCUAUGGAUUGACUAGAAUCGUACCUAUAAUGACUUGAUCACCAGUAUUGGCAUCUUGUUCAGUCAAAGCAAACACUCGUGCAUUCUCUUUUCGGUUCUAAUCAAUGAGUUUGGUGGACUUAAAGUCAUUCUUUUUAUUAAGACAAUCUCGUGCCAAAUGUCUCUUCUUGCCACACUCAAAGCACAUUUCGAGUUUCUUAUAACAAAUCUCGACUCCUUUCUUCUUAUUAGAGUGGUUCUUUAAGUUGUCAUAUUGGUCAUUCUGACUCCCAGUUGGUCUAGAUCUUUUUCUAUUUUUUCUUUCUUGCUCCAAUCUUUUAAUAUCUAAUUCAACUUUCAAAGCUCGUUCUAGUACAUCCUUAUAGCCAUUAAAAAGAUGGGAGGACAAACGAGAGCGAAUUUUAUAUCCUAAACUAUGCUCAAAUCUAUUUGCUUUGCUUUUUUCAGACUCUAUAAGUUGGGGCCAAAAUCGACCUAACUUAUUGAAUUUGUUUGCAUACUCCAAUACUGUCAUAUCAUCUUUUUGCCUCAAAUCCAAGAACACAUUUUCUUUCAUUAAUCUCACUGACUCAGGAAAAUACUGAUCAUAAAAUCUCUUUUUAAACUCCUCCCAUAUCAAUUGAUUUUCAUUAUUUUCAUAUGCAGUCCUUAUUGCGGUCCACCAAAACUCGACAGUUUUUUUUAGCAUAGGAAUUGCUAACCUAACCUUCACAUCCUCAGGAUACUGUAGUGCAUCAAAUAUCUUUUCCAUUUCUUGAAUCCAUGUCUGCAACCAGAGGGUCAGGUCCACCCUCAAACAGCGGUGGAUUAAGCCUUUUAAAUCUCUCGUAAUAUGACUCUAAAGAUGGUGCAGGUUGAGAAAUAACUUGUGUCUGCCGUUGUUGAAUAAGCUUUGCCACUACUUGGCAUACCCCAGUAAUGUCUGCCUGAGUGGCCGGUGCAUUAGAGGCCUGCUCAACCGAUUGACUGGUAUUUUUUCUUGUAGUCCUUCUUGCUCCUCUCUUUCUAUUGGCAGGAUUUGUCGAGACUUCAUUCUCUCUGUUACUCAUUAUCACCUAGAUAAAAAAAUACUAGCAUUAAUUAACUUCCUUAAAUGAGCAACAAGAACUUUAUGAAAAAUUUAUCUAUUCUUAUUCAAUUAAAUAUGAUCUAGCGAAACGUGACCUAUCUACUCAUUACUAGACAUUAAGUCUACCAAUGAUCAAGCAUAUUGCUCUGAUAUCAUUAAAUGUCACGCUCAAAAUCCGGAACAUAAUACGGCUAUGCUAUCAAGAGAUGCAGCCCUCGAUAAUACGAAGCCAAUCAAUCAUAAUCAGCUAAGAUCCAUCAAAAAUAAGUUAUAACAAAAUUUCAAUUCCAUUAUUCAUCAAGUAAAUAAAUCAAUAUUGGGUCAGAGCGACUCAAUCCAAAAGAUAAUACUAAAUCCAUAUAUCAAAAUUCAUCAGUAGUUGAUUACAAGCCCAUAAUAAUCUUAUAAUUUCAAUAAUUUCAACUGCAAACCUCCAUGUUUACUGGUGUAGACCCUCCAGCCUAGAUCAUCCUUGUUUCCUAACCUUAUUUAUCUAGACAGAAAAAGAAAAAGAAAAAGAUAUGAGCUAUACCAGCUCAGUAAGUAAACCUUACACUAUCUUAUCUAGAUCAAGCAUAAGCAUGUAUCAAUAAAUCAUUUAGAGAAGAUGAUUAUCAUUGAAACAUAAACUUUUCGUAAUAACAAUAUAUCAUAAAUCAAUAAUGCUCUUGCAUAUGCAUAAAUCAUGUAAUUUACAUAAACAUAGUUUCCAAUGCAUAACAUAAACAAAGUCAUAAAUUACGUCAACUUCGUAUAUAAAGUCAUAAAUCAUUUGUCAUUCUUUUCAUAUCAUGAUUCUUAAUAAUUCUCUCAGACUAAAUGCUAAGAUCACUAUUAUACCUGUGACAGGGCCAUAAUCAUGUACCAACUAUUAUUACCCAUUGGCAGGGUCGUAUACCAACUACUAUUACCCGUUGGCAGGGGUCGUAUGCAAAUUACUAUUAUUCACUGGCCGGGUUAUAUGCCAAUAACUAUUACCCAUUGGCAGGGUCAUACAUAGCUAUCUGAGAGUCUUUUUCCAUUUUUCUUAAGAUAGACAUUCUUAAAUCAUAUUUCAUCAAAUCAUAUUUUCUUAAAUUAUGCAUAAAUAAGAUACUAGAUAAUUUUAUAAAAUUUAUAAUCCAUAAAUAAUCUUUAACAGUAAAACAAUCAUGAAAUCAUUCCAUUUAUAAUCAGGUAUACAUUUCAUAAAUAUGGAGUUCAUAUUUCAUAAGAAAAAAAUUAUUCAUAUUAACAUAUUCAAAAAUUAUUUAUUUUACUACGAAUCAUGAAUUUCAUAAUGCAUAUACUUGAUCGUUAUUUUAUGAAAAUACAGAAUAAUUUUUUUCAUGAUAAAAUAAUCAAUAAUUUCAAAAGUAUGUAAGAAGUGUCGGGAUUACUUACCUUUUUUGUCCUAAUAUUUCAAACUUUGAUAGAUAAAUUUAUCAAACCUAUUUAACAUAUUAAAAAUAUCAUUUAUUUUUAUUUAUUAAUUCAAUAAUAAAAAAAGAAGACUGUAGAUCGGGUGAUCAGUUCAACUGGCAGUCUGGAUGUUGGGAUAAUUCAGGAUCUUCCUAACCAAGGAUCAAAUGUAAGUGACUCGAUCAAAGAAUCAUGAAGCAUGAAGUGGAAUCAAGGUCAAGAUUAAUCAAUAGAUUCAUCAAUAGUAGGUUUCAAGGGUAUUUGACAUGAUCGGGGUGAGGUCUGACAUCUUGCACGGAUAUUAAAGCAGUUUCGAACUGCUUUGGGUACAUCAUCUCGAGUUUAUACGAAGAUCCAUGAAUCAAAUGGAGGGAGAAUAGAGGAAGAAAAGUCUUAGAGAGAGAAAACAAGAGAGGAGAGAGAAAAUCUCUUUUUUUUUCUCUUUUUCUUUUUCUUUUCUUCUUCUUUUUCCUUUUCUUUUCUUUUCUUCUUUCUUUGUCCUUNNNNNNNNNNNNNNNNNNNNUCUUCUUUUUCCUAUUCUUUUCUUUUCUUCUUUCUUGUCCUGGCCGAACAGAGGAGGGACACGAGGGGAGGGGGCUUGGUGGCUCGUGCUCCGACGAGGUACGACGGCACGGUCAGAGGUUUGGCAGUGGCAAUCGAUAGUGGUGAAGCCAGAGAUGGCCGGCGGCGAGGUUCGACCGACGAAAAAUUAAAAAAAAUGAAAAAUAGGGGACCGCCCCCUUUCCAUGAAUUUCUUCGAUCAUUAAUCGAUCACCGACGGCCAUGACCUUCGGAGAAGGAAGGUAGAAAGGUGGGGAUCAUGUCUCAUGGGUGUGGCACCAUGGGCGGUGGUGCUGGUGGCUGGAAAAUGGAGAGAGAAGGCUCGGUCGAACAGAGCAAAAUAGGGUCGUGAUGUUUUGAGGAUUUUUCGAUGAUUCUGACGGCUGGCGAGGAUGCAUGAAGCCAUGGGAAGGAGGGGAAAGAAGAGAGAAAGGAGGGCCGAGGCUUACUUUCGACUCCAGUGAGGUCUUUGGUGAGAAUUUGAGACGAACACGAUGAGGACAUCCGUGGCUUCAAUGGAAAAAAUUCAGGAGAACGAAGAGGGAGGAAGGCUGGUAAUCGUCGUUGGUUGCUUAAGAGGGGAAGAGAGUGUUUUAUAGGGUGGAGAGGAGGUCGAAUUCUUUUUAGAUUCGACUUCUCCUCUCCGAUAGGAUCGGUGGAAGAAGACUCCCGCUGGGAGUCUUCUUCAUCUUUUUUUUUGUGGGCUUGAUGGGUCAAAAAUUGGGUGGGCUCUAUUUUAGAACAGGAUAUUACAUUGUACCCCCCUAAAAAAAAUUCAUCUUCAAAAUUUGACAUACCUUCAUUUUCAAAUAAAUGAGGAUACUUUAUCUUCAUAUUGUCCUUAUCAUACUUUAGAUCAGUUUCCGUCAACCCUAGUUUUCUUAUGAUGCAAUUCUUAAAUGAAGCAUCAGUGAAAAUAACUUUUCUUAAGUGCAGAGAUCACAUAUAGUAAUUUAUUCAAUUUUUUGAAUAUAUAGUUAAACUUCAAAGACAUAAAAGAAUAACAAAAUUAUAAUCAAACAACACAUGGGCAUUUACGGGUUGACUAGAAUCGUACCUAUAAUGACUUGAUCACCAGUAUUGGCAUCUUGUUCAGUCAAAGCAAAUACUCGUGCAUUCUCUUUUUGGUUCUGAUCAGUGAGUUUGGUGGACUGAGUCAUUCUUUUUAUUAAGAUAAUCUCGUGCCAAAUGUCCCUUCUUGCCACACUCAAAGCACAUUCCAAGUUUCUUAUAACAAAGCCCAUUAUGAUUUCUACCACAGUACUCACAAGUCUUGACUCCUUUCUUCUCAUUAGAGUGGUUCUCUAAGUUGUCAUAUUGAUCAUUCUAAGUCCCAGUUGGUCUAGAUCUUUUUCUAUUUUUUCUUUCUUGCUUCGAUCUUUUAAUAUCUGAUUCAACUUUCAAAGCUCGUUCUAGUACAUCCUUAUAGCCAUUAAAAAGAUGGGAGGACAAAUGAGUGCAAAUUUUAUAUCCUAGACCAUGCUCAAAUCUAUUUGCUUUGUUUUUUUCAGACUCUAUAAGUUGGGGGCAAAAUCGACCUAACUCAUUGAAUUUGUUUGCAUACUCCAGUACUGUUAUAUCAUCUUUUUGCCUCAAAUUCAAGAACUCAUUUUCUUUCACUAAUCUCACUGACUCAGAAAAAUACUGAUCAUAAAAUCUCUUUUUAAACUCCUCCCAUAUCAAUUGAUUUUCAUUAUUUUCAUAUGCAGUCUUUAUUACGGUCCACCAAAACUCGACAUUUCUUUUUAGCAUAGGAAUUGCUAACCUAACCUUCACAUCCUCAGGAUACUGUAGUGCAUCAAAUAUCUUUUUCAUUUCUCAAAUCCAUGUCUCUGCAACCAGAGGGUCAGGUCCACCCUCAAACAGCGAUGGAUUAAGCCUUCUAAAUCUCUCGUAAUAUGACUCUAAAGAUGGUGCAGAUUGAGAAGCAAGUUGUGUCUGCUGUUGUUGAAUAAGCUGGGCCUCUACUUGGCAUAUUCCAGCAAUGUCUGUCUGAGUGGCUGGUGCAUUAGGGGCCUGCUCAACUGAUUGGCUGGUAUUUUUUCUUGUAGUCCUUCUUGCUCUUCUCUUUCUAUUGGCAGGAUUUGUCGAGACUUCAUUCUCUCUGUUACUCAUUAUCACCUAGAUAAAAAAAUACUAGCAUUAAUUAACUUCCUUAAAUGAGCAACAAGAACUUUACGAAAAAUUUAUCUAUUCUUAUUCAAUUAAAUAUGAUCUAGCUAAACGAGACCUAUCUACCCAUUACUAGACUUUAAGUCUACCAAUGAUCAAACAUAUUGCUCUGAUACCAUUAAAUGUCACGCCCCAAAUUCGGGACAUAACACGGCUAUGCUAUCAAGGGAUGCAGCCCUCGAUAACAUGAAGCCAAUCAAUCAUAAUAAGCUAAAAUCUAUCAAAAAUAAGUUAUAACAAAAAUUUUAAUUCCAUUAUUCAUCAAGUAAAUAAAUCAAUAUUGGAUCAGAGCGACUAAAUCCAAAAGAUAAUACUAAACCCAUAUAUCAAAAUUCAUCAAUAGUUGAUUACAAGUCCAUAAUAAUCCUAUAAAUUCAAUAAUUUCAACUGCAAAUCUCCAUGCUUACUGGUGUAGACCCUCCAGUCUAGAUCAUCUUUGUUUUCUUACCUUAUUUAUCUAGACAGAAAAAAAAAGAUAUGAGCUACACCAGCUCAGUAAGUAAACCUUACACUAUCUUACUCAGAUCAAGUAUAAGCAUGUAUCAAUAAAUCAUUUAGAGAAGAUGAUUACCAUUGAAAUAUAAAAUUUUUAUAAUAACAAUAUAUCAUAAAUCAAUAAUGCUCUUGCAUAUGCAUAAAUCAUGCAAUUUACAUAAACAUAGUUUCCAAUGCAUAACAUAAAUAAAGUCAUAAAUUAUGUCAAUUUCGUAUAUAAGGUCAUAAAUCAUUUGUCAUUCUUUUCAUAUCAUGAUUCUUAAUAAUUCUCUCAAACUAAAUGCUAAGAUCACUAUUAUACCCGUGACAGGACUAUAAUCAUGUACCAACUAUUAUUAUCCAUUGGCAGAAUCGUAUACCAACUUACUAUUUUCCAUUGGCAGGGUCAUAUGCCAAUUACUAUUAUCCACUGGCAGGAUCAUAUGCCAAUAACUAUUACCCAUUGGGAGGAUCAUACAUAGCUAUCUGAGAGUCUUUUUCUAUUUUUCUUAAGAUAGGUAUUCUUAAAUCAUAUUUCAUCAAAUCACAUUUUCUUAAAUUAUGCAUAAAUAAGAUACUAGAUAAUUUUAUAAAAUUCAUAAUCCAUAAAUAAUCUUUAACAAUAAAACAAUCACGAAAUCAUUCCAUUUAUAAUCAGGCAUACAUUUCAUAAAUAUAGAGUUCAUAUUUCAUAAGAAAAAAUUCAUUUAUAUUAACAUAUUCAAAAAUCACUUAUUUUACUAUUAAUCAUGAAUUUCAUAAUGCAUAUACUUGAUCAUUAUUUUAUGAAAAUACAGAAUAAUUUUUUUCAUGAUAAAAUAAUAAAUAAUUUCAAAAGUAAGAAGUGUCGGGAUUACUUAUCUUUUUCGACCUAAUCCUUCAAACUUUGAUAGAUAAAUUUAUCAAACCUAUUUAACAUAUUAAAAAUAUCAUUAAUUUUUAUUUAUUAAUUCAAUAAUAAAGAAAGAAGACUGUAGAUUGGGUGAUCAGUUUAACUGGCAGUCCGGAUGUUGGGAUAAUUCAGGAUCUUCCUAACCAAGGGUCAGAUAUAAGUGACUCGAUCAAAGAAUCAUGAAGUAUGAAGGAGAAUCAAGGCCAAGAUCAAUCAAUAGAUUCAUCAAUAGUAGGUUUCAAGGGUAUUUGACAUGAUCGGAGUGAGGUCCGACAUCUUGCAUGGAUAUUAAAGCAAUUUCGAACCGCUUUGGUUACAUCAUCUCAAGUUCAUAUGAAGAUCCAUGAAUCAGAUGGAGAGAGAAUAGAGGAAGAAAAGUUCUAUAGAGAGAAAACAAGAGAGGAGAGAGAAAAUCUCUUUUUUUUCUCUUCUUUUUCUUUUCUUCUUCUUUUUCCUUUUCUUUUCUUUUCUUCUUUUUUUUCCUGGCCGAACAAAGGAGGGACACAAGGGGAGGGGGCUUGGUGGCUCGUGUUCCGACGAGGUACGGCGGCAUGGUCGGAGGUCUGGCAGUGGCAACCGAUGGUGGUGGAGCCAGAGAUGGCCGGCGGCGAGGUUCGGCCGGCGAAAAAUUAGAAAAAAAUAGAAAACAGGGGACCGCCCCCUUUCCAUGAAUUUCUUCGAUCAUUAGCCUAUCAUCGGCGGCCAUGACCUUCGGAGAAGGAAGGUAGAAAUGUGGGGAUCAUGGAUCAUGGGUGCGGCACCAUGGGCGGCGACACUGGUGGCCGGAAAAGGAAGAGAGAAGGCUCGGCCGAAUAGAACAAAAUGGGGUCAUAAUGUUUUGAGGAUUUUCCGACGAUUCCGACGACCGGCGAGGAUGCACGAAGCUGUGGGAAGGAGGGAAAAGAAGAGAGAAAGGAGGGCCGGGGCUUACCUUCAACUCCGAUGAGGUCUCUGGUGAGAAUUUGAGACGAACACGAUGAGGACAUCCGUGGCUUCCAUGAAAAAAAUUCGGGACAACGAAGAGGGAGGAAGGCCGGUAAUCAUCGUUGGUUGCUUAGGAGGGGGAG